rnacentral:lncRNA from 1 species
UGAUCACAACACCCAGAGGCCGAGAGGCUUUGGGUUCAUCACUUAUGAUUCAGAGGAGGCAGUGGACAAGGUUUUGCUUAAGACAUUUCAUGAACUGAACGGGAAGAUGGUUGAAGUCAAGCGUGCAGUUCCUAAAGAGUUAUCACCUGGUCCCAGUCGCAGCCCUAUUGGAGGAUACAACUAUGGUCUGAGUAGGGUCAAUAGCUUCCUUAAUGGCUACACUCAGGGAUAUACUCCAAAUACAGUUGGAGGCUAUGGGCUUGGUAGGUUCAGUCCAGUUGCUGGUGGUCGAAGUGGAUUUCCUCCAUUUAAUUCUGGUUAUGGAAUGGGUAUGAAUUAUGAGCCAGGGUUGAGCCCAGGUUUUGGAGGAAAUACAAACUUUAAUAGUAAUAUCAGCUACCCACGGGGAGUGAGUCCUUAUUAUAUCAAUAAUUCAAAUAGAUUUAGCAGUCCCGUUGGGUAUGAUGGUGGUAAUGGAGGAAACACAUCAUCUUUUUUUAGCUCGGUGACUCGGAACUUGUGGGGCAAUGGGGGGCUUAAUUAUGGAACAAAUUCCCAAAGUUCCAGUGCUUACAUGGGAUCAGGAAGUGGGACCAUUGGAGGAAGUACGUUUGGCAAUACUGGAGUUAAUUGGCGUUCUUCGGCAAUUUCAGCUCAAGGUGGAGGAAAUAAUGUUUCUAACAAUAGUGGGAAUCUUGGUUAUGGAGUUGGUGAUAACAGUUAUGGUUUGGGAACCGGAGGUUAUGGAAGAAACAGUGGUACAAGUGUGGCCCCUACAUCUUCAUUUGCUGUGUCAAAUGGUGGUUUCGAUGGGUCCUUCUCUGACUUUUACAAUGGUAAUUCUGUUUAUGGAGAUCCUACUUGGCGAUCAUCGAAUUCCGAGCGAGAAGGGUCUGUUCCCUUUGGUUAUGGUCUUGGCGGUGCAACUUCUGAUGUUUCAGCAAAAAGUUCGCCUGGUUAUGUUGGUGGUUAUAGUGUUAAUAAGAGACAGUCAAACACAGGUAAGAAACACUUAACUACUAUCUCAUGCAACUUCUGUUUUUCAUUUUUUAAAAUGUUCUUUUUGUUGAUAUAUAAGGAGCUUUAUUCUAAAAAAUUUGUUUGAAGUUGACUACGAGAGGAUUGGAUCCUGAAUUUGGUUUGACCUACAAUUCUAGGGAUAAAUUCUGUCCAAGUGUGUAGGUUUUUUGUGUUUUGGUCCAUAUUAACUGUAUGAAUAGGAAAAGCCCUUCUUAAGGUUGUGCUGCAAAAUUUUAUUGAAUUUUGUGACUGGGUCUAGCUAUUCGCAUGUUCGCCACAUGGCUAGGGAUGUGAUUGUUACAUUAGGUACCUAGAUGGUUCUUUACUUCAUCUGUCAUCCUCUAGCUGAUUAUCCACAGUGAUGGCAUCUUUUAACUUUCCUAUAUCUUUAACAAAGAUUCUUGGGAAGCUAGUUAUUUUUGCUGGUGAAGAGUGUAUUUCUUUGGAGUCCAAGGGGUAUUAGGAUUUUAUGUGAGUUAACAAGCAAUUGGGAAACUGUGGGACUUUGAGAUGAAAGGAAAAGGCUUUUAAUGUUGGAGUACUGGUGAAAUAAUUUUAUUUGGCUUUCUGGUGUUAGUAGAAGUUGUAGCUGGGCCAGUGAGCUUCUUGGCUAUUUAACUAGAUACAACCUUCUACCUUUUGGUAAUUAGGGGGAUGAUUGUCCCAAAUGGGUAUUGAUUGUGCAGGGGUGAAGCGACAGUGUACCGUAUUUAUAUUUUGUGGUAUGUUGUUGAUAAGGCAUUAGGGGAUUUCCUGUGUUCUUGCUUAUGUGAUUUUAAAGAAUCUUCUGCUCCUUUGCUUUUGAUAGGAAGAUUAGGCAGCUUUCAUCAAUUUCUCUUCUGUUCUGGAAGGAAAAGCAUUAUGAAUCUUUCCGAGGGUUGGAGCUCUCUUUCCCUUAUAUUGCAUUUCUUUCCUUUAUUUCUUUGGCAGAUUUCGAAGUUACUUCUUGUUUAUUGGCCAUUCUAGAGUUUGGAUGAGCUCUCUCUUUUUACCUCUCUCUCUCUUUAGGUGUAUGCGCUCGUUUAGGGUCAUAGGAUUUUGUUUUUGUUUCUUAUAUAGAAGUGCAUGAUUUUUUUUCUGCUACGCUGUAGAACUCUCUACUAUGCGGCUCCAUUCUCUUCUUGAGUCUUGACAUUGUCUUUCAAGAGAUUCAGCAUAUGUUUUUCACAAAAUAAGACACAAUAGUGAAAAGUGGCUUCAUUUUUUAUUAUCACAACUUAAAGACCACAAUAUGUAUACUCAGCAGUGCAUUAAAGUUGAGUAGCAUGAUUCUCCAAGUUUUAUCUCUCUAUGUUGUUCUUUUAAUUCAGUCAAGGAAGAAAUUGAGAGAAAUGUAGAAGUCUAAAGAAGUCUAAUAUGAAUAUCGUUGAAUUCUAGCCUAUGUUUAAAAUGUGUCUGCGCUGGCUUUCUCCGUCUCUCUUUCCGGUGUGUGUUUGCUCUCAUAACUUUUGUCCUUUUGUCCUUGUAACCAACCUUUUCAUAAUCUCUUUUUAGGACCUUUCUGAAUCUGUUAAGUAAUACAAAGCACUAGUCAAGGGUCUGAAGUGGAGAGGGAUGAUAUAGUUGGGCAGUAUGUAUGUUUUUCUGUCUCAUGGGUGCAUAUUCAAGUUCUGCAAGUAGGAGGGUGUAUAACUAACAGAUGAAUAGAGGGAUAGAGAAUUUAGUCGACCAUUGGAUUCUCAUUUUGUGAGUCUUAAUUCCUUACAGCCUCUUCAAAUUUGAGGUCAGAUUUGUUAUACAGUCUUGCCAUCAUUGAAGAAAUCACAACUUAGUUUAUAAUGGCUGCAUAUUCCUUAUUUAUUUGAAUGUUGCAGCAGUUAUAAAAGGUGAAACAUAUUGUUGUUAGCAUAAGCUUUCAGGAUACUUAGCUUUUACCCAUGAGUUGGCUGAUAGCUACUCGCUACAUAGCGUUUUUAAUCAGUGUCAAAGUGCAAAGUAUUCAAAUUUUCUUGGAAGUUAUUUCCGUGAAUUUGAUCCUGCAUUGAAGCUGUUGGUAAUACAAUUAUGUAUAUGUAUAUGUAAACACCUACACGUGCAUGGACACACAUACACGCGCCUGUCUACUCAGAUGAAUGAAAUGGAAUCUACUCAUUAAUGUAACGUAAAUUUAACUGAAAAAGUGUUGCUCACUUCACUAAUUUUCAAUGCAUAUGCUGAUACUUAAAAAGCUCGUUUCCAACGUUCUUUCAGGAAUUGCUGCCUAGGAUCUUCGUUUCUGAUAUCACGGCAUUGUAGGUGAAAGAUAGUCUGGUGAAGCAGGUGAAUUGUGAAUUUUGCACACCGCCCUCAUUUAUAUAUCUCAGUAAAAGAAAUAUGGUUAGUAAGAAGAGCUAACUGGCUGGAGUGCCUGUUUCAAGAAUUAAGAUUAGAGGUAGAAGUUAAAAUGGAUUUUGUGUUAAUGCUUGAGUUUUGAGUUACCCAUUUUAGGUUUUUAUAUUUUGGUCUUUGAGUGAGAUGUAAAAUCAGAUUGCGGGAUAUAGUCAGAAGUGUAUCAUGCAUCUCCGGUGAGGCGGCGAUACCCAAAAGGCAAAAAAAAACAAAAAUGGCAAGAAAGAUAGACUAAUAUAUAUAUAUAUUUUUUUCCUAGAGUUUUAUCUGUAACAUCUCUGGCAAAGCUUUGGGUUCUGGUCAGGGAAUGCUUCUUUUUAUUCUUUUUUUCUUCCCAUUAUUCUGUUUUUCUUUUUUGUACCUGAAAUUACUGUCGAUUUAUUAGUGUGAAACGUUUAAGGGUUACCCAUAUAGGGACCCCCAUUAAUAAUUAUCGCAUAUUCUGAUUCUUAGCCUUCGAGGAUUUAGUAUGCAACACUUUCAAAAUCUUUUUUCAAUAUAUUUUUUUGGGUGAAAUGUAGUGUCUCAUAUUCAUGUUGACAAGUUGAUCAAUUUGCCAAAACAAAGUAGGAACAUCAAGUUCUUUUCUUUCUUUGGAAAGUUAUUAUUUUUUAUUCUUAAUAAAUAAGUCCCGGAGGAUUAAAAGUCAGCUGAUAAUGCAAACAUGGGCUUAGCCAAGUUGGCUAGAACGGAUGUACUCCUCACUUUGCACUCGAGUGCGAAUCCCUCUCUUCGUAAUUUAUAUUAGAUUACACUAUAAUAUUUGGUAAUAUUUUAAUUCAAAAUGAUGUAGGUAAUAUUUGGAAGAUUAGGAAAUUAAUAAGUCUCUCUCUCCAACAUGGAACGUUUAAGUGGUUUCUGAUUAGGCAAAGGGUGCGUUGAAUGCAUUAUAAAAGGAAGGUAUUAUUUAACUUGGAAAAUCUCUUUUUACAUUGCAAAAAAAAAGAAAGGAAAAAUCUUGUAUGAUAGAGGACCCUUAAAGAGAGACCAGCAAUCCUGCCACUACCUUUUCUCCUUUCUGCUUUAUAUCAUUCUGGAUAUCUCUGAUGGGAAAUUCAAAGAGCUCAAGUGGGGAGAGAGACUCGAAUACAGCCCAAAAAGUACAAAGAAGGGAAAAAGGAUAAAGAAAACGAUUGAAAAUACCACCUUUUAUGUUACUUUUAGACUUUCUACAAUGAGCUUGUGUGAAUGAUCAAUCUACUUCAACUUUUACUGGCUAUGGCUGCAGUAACUAUUCAAGAAUCAAGAUGCAAAUUCUACACAACCAAACAAAUGUGUUAGCAACAAAAUUGCCUAGUUUUCUCACUUACACGGUCUGCCUAUGAAAUGGCAAAUAGAUUAACUUUUGUGUCACUUGAAAGUGAGGCUUAACUUUAGUGAUAGAACAUUUGUCCCUAAUUCUUCGGAAUAUAUACAGUAAGCGUUCGACUCUCGUCUCUUUCCCUUUAGGCAAACACAGUCACCGUUCAAUUGCAUGCACUUGUUUGGAAAGGGAUCUAUUAUUGUCUCAUCCUUUGUCUAGCAAGCAAGGAUCCAAUAGCUACAAGCAGUUGUGACAAUGAUUGUAAUUGGUCAAAUACAACUAAGCAUACGUACAAAUUCAAUCACAACAAGCUUAAUUGGAAGGCAAGUAAUCUUUACUUGUUUAGAAAGUGGGUGGAAGAUAAGUACUUUAUUUAUUCAUAAGUGGGAAAAUUAUCAACAAACGUCAAGAUGGCCGAGUUGGUCUAAGGCGCCAGUUUCAGGUACUGGUCCGAAAGGGCAUGGGUUCGAAUCCCAUUCUUGACAAAAUUAACUUUUUGACUUAAUUUUUUUUUUUUCUUCUUUUCUGACGAUUCAUCUUUACAGAAACUCACAUCAAAAGGAAAACUUCUGUGUAAAAUAGUUGAGGGAAACUGUGGUAAUUGAACAUACAGUACAAACUGUGGUAAUUGUAUACAUUCAGGCAAAGAAGAAAGAAAAGGUUUCAUCCAUAAAAACAAAAAAAAGAAACUAAAAGCACAACUUUGUUCAGUUGCCCUACAGAAAAGCAUGAAACAUCCAAACCAAAAUUUUAGUUUCUUUCCAGAAAAGCACUGUCUUCAACGUGUAGUUGGCUGGCUGGCUGGCUGGCUAUAAAUAUGAUCCAUGACAUUGCAAAGAGGGUUCUUCCUCAAGCAUAAUUUUGUGUAAUUAUGCCAUCUUUAUAUGUAUGUCUCUCUCUCAAGCUCAACUGAAGAUUGCACUGCCUUUAUCAGAGCCCCCAAUUAAACCCUCCCUCCUCAGCUUCUCCUCCUUUGAUUUUCUACAAAACACCACCCAAGAAUUCACCUCCAAAGCUAUACAUACCCCAAUCAGACUAGACAAACCCAAACAAUAGGCCAGCUUAGCAUAAGACCUGCCUUCUCCCAUCACAUCAAAACCCUGGAAACAAUUCACAACCCCAAGCACCACACAUCCAUACCCUACAAAAUGGUGAUAAGAUUUCCAGUACUUCCUGAAUUUGUUUGUAGUUUUUGGCCUAAACAAUAGUGCCAGUGUUUGAAGAGCACCUAAGCAAAAUGCUGCAAACCCAAGCUUCCUGUGGAGCCCAUAUUGGACCCCAGGUGACAAAUCCCCAAGCCUAAUUCCAAUGGCAAACCCCACAGUUCCUAAGAAAAAAGCAAACAGUUGGAUCCCAGCAUGCACAUAGAACCAUGUAGGCCCUAGUGCUUGGAUGUGCCUAAGGUAGCGUGCAAUCACUGCUCCAAUGGGUAGCAUGAUUCCCCAUGAAACAGCAUUUAUGAUGCCAUGCACUGAUCUGAGUGUACCAAUGUUGGUGUGACGUGCGGCCGUUGAGCCUGACAUGACAUCGAAUGUCAUUACCGACGAAAGGUCGUUUGCGGUGGUUGGGUGUAUGGUUGGUGAGUAGCCUUGGACAUAGAGGCCGCGGUUCCACACGUGAUGGAGUUUUGUCUUGUUUGACGCGAGCUUCAAUGUGGCGAAGAUUUGGACCGCGGCGCCAUUAUGGACGGUGGCUAGUUUGCCACCGUAUAGAGUGGCAGAGGAGGAGAGUAUGCGGAUGUCAAGAGGGCGAGAGAGGAGAGGGCGGCGUUGGAACUUCACGGUUGGGUCUAGGAGGUAAGGUAGGAGGACUAUUUGGCCGGUACUAGGGUCCGGAAAGGCGACCAAAGCGUUUGUGCCGGUCAUUUCGGGGGAGGUGGGGUUGAUGCCCCACCCGACCCACCCGGAAGGGGAUAUGAAAGUGCCAAAGAAAACAAGGUCUAAGGUGGCAUUGUGGUGGUGGAAUGUCCAUGCUAUGGAGGCUUGUUGGGUAGGGAGGGUGAUGCAUUUUUGGAAGGUUUGAGUGGGGGUGGAGGUGGUGCAAUGGGCAGAAAAUGUGACAUGGGGUAGGGAAAAGAGAAGGAAAAGGGAUAAGAGGAAGAGCAUAUUGAUGGGUUGGAAGAAGGAUUUGAUCAAAGAGAAAUGGAGCUAGGGAGCUUGAAUUGGUUUGGUUAGGAAGCUUUUGUUAACAUUUAUGUGUUUGGUAAUGAUGAGGGAGAUAAGAGGGUGAUGGUUGGUAAUCAUGGCUGUGGAGCAAGUGUGGGAAUAGAAUAGUGUGUGUGCGUAGCUUUGAAGUUAAGUUAAGGCACUCAAAGUGUUUGUUUGGUGGAGUAGAAAAUGAAGGUUUCAAAGUGCAAGUGCAAGUGCCUUUUGUCGUGGAAUAUUUGGGUUUUAUUUUGUCUUCUUUAAUGAAAUAGAUCUUUGCGAGGAUUGUGCUUGUCUUUGAAGCAAGGGAAUGAUGAUAAGUGAAGCUAGCUCUUGACUAAUUUUUAUUUAUUUAUAAAAUUUGCUCUCAUUAUUUAAAUAAUUAAAUAUUCUCCAACACUAUUGGGAAAAAAAAGGUACACAAAAAAUCUCGACCUUUGACUUCAUCAUCAUACUUGAAACGACGUCGUUUGAUGGUUAAUCUAUGUGAUUGUUUUGUCCGUCAGUUUGUGCGAGAGAGUGAGAGAGAGAGAGAGAGAGAGAGAGAGAGAGCAAGGGAAGCAAAGAUGGAGCAAGAGAAAGAGAAAGAUAGAGUGAGCUUGGAAGGAGGGAGAGUGAUACUGCUGCCUUACAUGAAAGAACACGUUCCAAAGUACCAUGAGUGGAUGCAAGACCCAGCUCUUCUCCAAGCCACUGGCUCUGAGCCCCUCACCCUCGACCAGGAGUACCAGAUGCAGCUCACCUGGACCCAAGACCCCAACAGUUCUCUCUCUCUCUCUCUCUCUCUCUGAUUUUGUGGAUUAGUUUGCUAAACUGAACUGGGUAAUCUUGGUUUUGACAAAUAACUUAUAAUUAUAGAUUCUGCUAGUAAAGGUUUGAUCUUUCCGGGAAAAAAAGAAGAGGGUUCAAUCUGGUUUUGAUUAGUGAUUGAGGUUUAUUUGAAAGAUUUCAUUGUUAUAUUCGUGGUCUUGUGAGUGAUUAAAGAUUUGGAAAUGGGUUUUGCAGAGCAGACUUUUAUUGUAUUGGAUAAGCAGUUGGUUGUGGGAGAAUUCAACCAUGGACAGCCCCAUGUGGAAGGUUAGCCAAAUUUACACUCUUUCUUCACAAAUUACUGUCUGUUUGGUUGCUGAGAAAAAUUAAAGGAAGUUACUGUAACCAAAAAAAAAGAAAAAAAAAGGGGGAAAAUCUCUGUUUUGCAAGUAAAAGGAUCACCUUGAGUAAGCAAAGCACUUUUUAUCUGGGAACAGUUGGUUGGAUGGUUUGGAAUGGCAUUCCCGAGAAGGUUCUUAUUGUUCAGCAAGUAAAACUGGGAAUUAUUAACUUAUUCCAGUUUUGAAGAUAUCGUUUGUUCAGUUAAUUUUUAUUAGAAAUCGAGGCGUUCAGAGAAAAACAAAGAUAAAUAAGAUGUUUUUAAAGGAGUUGAGUGCCUGUAGCUAUCUAUUGAACAUAUUAUGAAAAUAUAUGCACUUCAAAUCUUGAACUAGCUCAUUUGCAUGGUGGACUUUCUUUGUGUAAUAUAAUUUAUGAGUGAGUAAUGGUAUGCCCUUUGCCAGCCAUGGUAGGUGAUGUGAAUUUAUAUAUGAAUGACCUGGAUGAUCCUCAAAUGGCAGAGAUUGAAAUAAUGAUUGCUGAGCCAAAAAGGUACCAGCUUUUACUUUCUUCUGAUGCCAACGAGGCUGAAGUGCUUGUGUUAGUGCGAAUCUGGUUUUCCCUUUUUUUUUUGGUUAAUUAUAUAUAUUUGUUCAUUUGAAGCUUUCCAGAACCAAAAAUUUAUACCUCCUUGCUUGUUUUCACUUUAGGAACUUUUAUAUAUACUAUAAUUUAAACUUCCAAUAUUUGCUCUUGCUAGCAUAGUCGUGGUAAAGGACUUGGGAAGGAGUCUGCCUUGAUGAUGAUGGCCUUUGCAGUUGAGAAUCUGGGGAUCCACAUCUUCCGUGCUAAAAUUGGAGAGCUAAAUGGAGCAUCUCUUAACUUGUUCCGGAAAUUGGUCUCUCUCUCUCUCUCUCUCUCUCUAUAUAUAUAUAUAUAUAUAUAUAUAUAUAUGAAUUUAUUUUAUCACAAACUCAAUUUAUCAUGCAAUGUUAGUCGCUCAUACUUCACUUACAUUUUGCACUUGUUCUUCCUUCUGGUUCACCAAACUCGCAUAUGUUUGAUGCAGGGCUUUGAGGAGACUUCUUAUAGUGAAAUCUUCAAAGAGGUGAGCACAAUUAUCUUCAUGAAAUAUGCAUAUCUGCACAGGCUUUAGUUGGUCUAUGUGAACUAUAGAUUUUUGGGAUUGAAUGUCUUUUUAAUGUUCCUACUCUCUUUAUACCUUGGAGUGGCUCUCCUAAAUUAUGGAUGCUUCAAUUACAACUUAUGUACUGCCAGCUUCAAAUCCAAAUUUUUUUCAAUAGUUUCGUGUUUUUAAAAAGGGGCUCGAUACUCAUAUGAAAAGAAUAAGAACCAUAAAGAGUUUACUGGGCUAUCAAUUUGUGGGUAGCAAGUCUCCCUGCCUUUUUUUUUCCCGUUGAUGAUUUUGACUAAUUUCUUGAAGAUCCAGAAACAGUGGAAAUUUAAAUGUUUUGGAAGAGGAAAAAAGUUCAAAUUGUUUGGUUAUCAGGAUUCAGUAUUGGAGCUCCAUUUAUCCAUUUUAACAAAUUUCCUGUCAUAUAUGACAGGUAACAUUGGAGUUAUCUGUAACAAAGGCCAAGCAUGAUGAGCUGCUGCAGUUGAUGGGUAGUUUCAUUACACAUGCCUAGCAGUCAGGGGCCUAUUUAUUCAAGCUAAUUUUCUACUUCACAAUCCACAUCAACUCUCACUCUAGUGCUUUGUACACAGAAAAGCUUUGAGGUUAUUUAGACUCUACCAUAAGAUGUAAGUGUUAAUCUUGCUGAACAGGGCUACACUAAAAUGUUAGGUGCUAUAAAUAUCCCCUUUUGAAAAUCAUUCUGGUUGGUUUAUUAAUUUCCUAUCGAUCUACAUCCUUCUUUUAUUUACUUUUCCUUUCCCCCUUCUGGUUUAGUAGUAAACAUGAUCAUAGUAGUUCAUGCAGACAGAAAAUCAAAUUUUCCGACAGAUUGAAUAAUUGGCCCUGUAAUUGGGCAAGUCUCAGGGACAUCGUUUGAAACUGAAUUCCCAGCUUGUCAUACAUGAUUGACUGUGGUGCCAUGAGCUAAUGGUCCCAGAAAACCAAAGAUGGGCCAUGUGGCUGUUGGAAUUUUCUGCAGAGAUGUUAGAAACUUGAAAGCUAAAAGCUCUUGGCUGCACCUCUAGGUGUUGUAUAAACUGCCAUGACAGUAGAAGCUUGAGUUGCUCUGUAAGCAAUUUGGAUGCUUCUGGUGGAUGGAAUGUAAUUCCAGUGGGGGCGUGUAGUACCAGAAUGUCACUGCAAGAAGUGAAGAUCUGGUUGGUCAAAUAGUUGCCGUCUGAGCAAGUCUUUAAUGAGUAAGUGAGCGCUAGAUGGAGAAAAUUGCAAAUGAUCAAAGCAGGUGUUAUUUCCAUGGACUGUUGGAUAUUUUGAACUUAAAGGACUUUCCAAGGCUUUUUGGGGAUAAUGGUUUCUGAUUGUGCGUUGCUAAAGGACUUGAUUCAUGCUCAAUUUGAAGGGACGAUGUGAUGGCAUACAAUAAUACGUGUAUGUAAUACUUAAAAGGAGGAACUCCUCCAUGCCUUAUAUUGCGGCUCAACCACAAAGUGACCUUCUAUUGCAGCUCAACCACAAAGUGACAUGUGUCCUCGUUUUUUAAUUGUCAAAACAUCUUUGUUUUUUUUCUUUUAUUAAAAUUCCCAUUGUUCUUCACAUUGAUUUUUCUCAACCAUUUUUAAAAUAAUAAUUUUCCUUCAUCAGUCAAAAUAAAAAGUUAAGGUUUCAAUAAAAAUGAAAAUAAAAAAAAACAGCAUUCACAAUUAAAACGGACAGGGCACAUGUCGCUUUAUGGUUGAACAACAAUAAAAGAUAAGGAGGGAAGUAUUGUCUUCUAAUAUAUGAUGUUGCAUGCAUGUGAUGACAUGAUAUCAACACGUAUAUAAGAUGACCAAACUAACCUUGUGACUUGUAACAUUGUCAAUAUGGUACAUACGAUAUUUGCUAAAAAGUCAAUAGGCUUGUAGGUUGGGGUGGCCAUAAAACCGCAUGAACAGUUAACACUUAACACCAGUCAAAUUAAACCAAUUCAAAUCGUCCAGACACUGAUUUGAUUUCUACACUAAUGUACAGUUCGAUUGUAAUUUGAGAGUGAGAGCGAUUUAAACCGGACCGUGCCCGUCCGUAGUUUGAGAAACUCAAAAACACAAGGAGUCAAAUGAAUAAUUAUAUACCUCUCAAAGGGGCAACUACAAGGGUAGUGUGGUAAAAUAAUGAAAUGCAAGAAAAGUGAAGUAUUAUAUUAUAAUUUAUGUGACGUGAGAAAUAGCUGGAGCUUGCUUCCAGGCGAGUAACGAUCGAGUGGAAAGACCAAAGUCCCUUUCGUGGGGAGCACGAAGAAAGAUGCUGAUUGUUAAUCAUAUAAUUCCAUUAUCCAGAAUUUACCAAAUCUAAUCAAUAAUUACCUUUUCAUCCCAAAUACCCCCUCUUAUAAUAAUAAGUAUUUUGAAAGCGACCUCUUCUUUCAUUUUAAAUUUCAUUGCAACUUCAAAUGCUUUGCUUUACAACGGAGAUGAAGGUUUUUUAUACACACACUAUCGAGGUGCUAUAUGAAUUCGAAUUUGAAAUCACUAAUCUGUAAAUUAAGACUAUUUUCCAUAAAAUAGACCAUGUUGACACAUUUUUUGUUGUUGAUAAAGCAAAAGACGGUCUUUUUUCGGUUUGAAGUUUUUGUUUUCUUCGAGAUUUUGAAAUUAAGAGCAUAAGGUAUUAUAAUUUCGCUUACAAAAGCAGGAAAUUUCGAUUAUAUGUACCCAAAAGUUUAUUUGGACCACAUGUAUUUCUUUCUUUUCCUUCUCCCCUUACUUUCUUUUCAUCAUUUGUAGUUGGUUGAAACGUGAAAGUAUUGUUGGAUGGCAAAUGGCGGUGACGUCGAAUAGUGAAAAAAGUUGGUGGUAUUUUUGGGCGAAGAACUUUACGCUAAUUAUGUGUGUGUGAUUAUUAUUUUUUUCUUUUCAAAAGAAUGUUUGAAUUUUUUUUUUUGGGGAGUGUUGAGCUAUUAUCAAACAAUUAAACAAUAAUAGUGUUUAUGUUUGACUAAAUUGACUUCUAUUCUAGUAGUGGACUUGUUUGAUCUCAUUAACAAUAUUUUAAUUUGCUAUUGAUUCCAUAAUUUUUUUUUUCACUUCAAUAUAUAUGCUUACAAGUUGAACCUAUAUAUUGUUGAAUUCUACUUAAUUAAAAAAAUAAAUAAAUAAAUAAAAUUCAACAUUAUAUUUAUUUAUAUAUGCAAAACGGGACAAGAAAAAGUAUUAUUAUUAUUAUUUUUUUCUUCACUAUUCCUUGUGACCGGCCAUAUAUAUAUAAAAGCUUGGAUAGAUAAUUACUCUGGGCUAAAGUUUUCAGUGAAUGGUCACCAACCAUUUCUAUUACAAAACGAAUAAUUAAAAUUCGAUUGGUUUAUUAUAUUGUGAAAUAAAGUAUGCUUCUCUUUCUAAUUUAAUAUUUGGAAUUUUUUUUUAUAAGAUAAGGGGAUAAAACCUCUAAAAAAAACGACAACUAACUAAUACAGACCAAGCGAAGCCUAGUAAUUUUUAUUUUAUUUUAGUACUUUUCGUUAAUUGAAAUUCAACAUUUGGGGUUGAAUGACCACACUUGCAUGUCAAGUUGUUGUAAAAUCUUAUGAGUGAUGCUACUUACCAACUCCAUGUUGCUCAUUCAUUCUUUUUAAUAAUUUUCAUUACAAAUUUACUUUUGCGUUCAAUUAUUUUAAAGCAUAAAAUUUCGGAAAAUGUAUAUAAAUAAACAAAAAACUUUGUGAUUGCCUUGAGCCAUAACAAAGAUCGCUACCAUGGCUAAAAUAUUGGUCACGUGGAUCAUUGCCAUCAGCCAUAACUAAAAUAAAAAGAAGAAAAAUAAAUCAAGGCUAGACAUUACGGUGUUUGUUCUUUUCAAUAUUAAAAAGGUCUCAUUUUCGAAUUACUUGUUCUAUAUUCAUAAAAAAAAAAAAGUAAAAAAAAGAAUUCAUGGUGUUUUUUUUUCAAUGGAUUAAAGGGUGUGUUGAGUAAUGCAACAUAUACAUAUAAAAUUGAAAAAAAAGAAUACGGGGUGAGUAAUGAGUAAAAUAGUGUUGUAACAAAGACAUUUUUUUGAAUUAUUGGAUUAAUAUUCAAUAGUGGGUGACCAUAAUAUCUUGAACUUCUGUGGUUUAAGAGAUCGAGACUGUAUGUAUAUAUAUUUGUUGUUGCUUGGUUUUUAAAAGAUCAAAUUAAUCAUAUAUCAUGAAAAAAAUCAUAUCAUGCAAUUCAAAUAAUGUAUAAUCGAAAAUUAAGAUAAAAAAAGGCAAGAACAAAAUAAUGAGUAAUUUUUGUAUGUUCCGGGCUGAUGUACCAUCCAAUAUCAAUACGCAUCGCUUGUAGGGUUAUAGUAUUGCAUUGGGCCCACUGUACUGUGGGUUCAGAUUAAACAACGUCACCGUUUUAGCCAAGUUACUAUAAGAGGAAUGAUCUUAUAGUGAGAAAAAAAAAAAAACUAUUAAAAGAAUGAACGGCGAACGGAGGACAUGCAACCCUUACCAUUUCAUCAGAGUAGAGAAAAACCAUAUUUUCCAUGACUAAAUUUUGUCCAAUUUUCUUUUUGAUAAAUUUGGUUUGGGCAUUUUCAAACUGACACAUUUCCAUAAAUUUUCAAAUCAAAAUUAUUUCACAAAAUAGAAAAAAACCUUAAAAAGUUAAAAAAAAGAAAAAGAGAAAAAACUGAAAAUCUUCAGCUUCCCAUUUUCAUAGUGCCUAUAUAUUCCUCAGAGACCUUCAAUGCCCUCUCUUUCUCUCUCAAACUUCUGUUUCUCUCUCUAGAAAUACACAUAUUUUAAUCUCGUACUCAUCUGUUUGAUAACUGAAUUUGCAUUUGGUAAUCAAAUAAUCACCAUUGAAAGAACAAACAAAAAGAUUGGAGGGGGCAUAUAUGGAGAGGAGGUUGAACAUGCCCUCUGUUCUUAUUCUUACAGUGCCUCCUCUCAGAUCUUAAUUUUCUUCAAGAUUUGGCAUCUGGGUUUUCAUUAAUCUGUGGGUACGGUGGGAAUCUGAUUUGGGUUUUUAUAUUUUUUUCUAAAUUGGUUGUGUGUUUGGAUCCCGGUAAAUUUUUCUGAUUGAAAUUUUUCUGGUUUAUUUUUUUUUCUUCAUCUUUUUCUAGGUGUGCUUAAUUCUGGGUCCAGUAUUUGAUCGGUGAAGGAUCGGAUGUUUCAAAAUUGAAUCCAGGAAUACUUGUUUUGAGUCGUAUUACAAUCUGUGUUUGUAAUAUUUCAAAAGAAGGUACUCUUCUUUUUAGUUUGGUGGGUUAUAUAUAUUUAUCUGCAUUUGAUUCCAGUUAGGUGGAUGGAUAAAAGGAGAGACUUUAUUCGAGCUGUGGGUGUUGCUGUUGGAUUGGCUUGAAUAUUUCUCUGCACUUCAUUAUGCUUCAAUCUGUUUAGUUUUGCUUAUGCUAUAGAAAUGUAUUGGAUCCAUUAUAAAAUGCUCCAUCUUUUUUGAAUUGGUUUAAGAUUGGAUUUAAAGUUUGCAUUUUUCUUUGAGUUGGUUUAAAGUGUGAUUUGCAUUUGCAAAAUUUUAUCAAGUUUGAAUUGAUGACGUACUGUGGCUUGUAGAGAAAAUGCAAUCCGAUAGUGGUAAGUUGUUUAUUGGCGGCAUAUCGUGGGACACAAAUGAAGAGCGUCUGAAAGAGUAUUUCAGCAGUUUUGGGGAGGUGGUAGAAGCGGUGAUCAUGAAGGAUCGGACCACCGGCCGUGCUCGUGGUUUUGGUUUUGUAGUUUUUGCAGACCCAGCUGUUGCGGACAGUGUCAUAAUGGAGAAGCACAACAUUGAUGGGAGGAUGGUAAUCAAAAUACUUUCUUUUUGAUGAAUGUAAUUGUCCUUGGAUUGCACUUGUAUGUUCACAUAAUGACUAUGCAUCAUUGUGCUUUUCUUUUUGAAUCAAAGCAACUGUAAAGGGUAAUGCAUUUCUUUAUGGUAGUUUGGGUCUGAAAUUGUACUUACUGGAAUUCAUUUCCUAUUGUUCUGCAUUUAACUAAAUUUUAAACUCAGCAACAGUAACUCAUGGUUCUAGAUAUUUUAUCUUUCUUCUGUGGUUAGUUUAGUUAAUGCAUUACUUUGUUCUUCUAAUGUGAUUAAUCAAUUUAUAGAGCUUGUAUCAUUUGAGCUUCGUUUUUACCAGUGAAUUCUCCAUUCUCAGGUUGAAGCAAAAAAGGCUGUUCCCAGGGAUGACCAGAAUAUUUUGGGUAGAACCAGUGGCAGCAUCCAUGGUUCUCCAGGUCCAGGUCGCACAAGAAAGAUUUUUGUUGGAGGUUUAGCAUCCACUGUCACGGAGAGUGACUUCAAGAAGUACUUUGAACAGUUUGGGACAAUCACAGAUGUUGUGGUGAUGUAUGAUCACAACACUCAGAGGCCAAGAGGCUUUGGAUUCAUUACUUAUGAUUCAGAAGAGGCAGUGGACAAGGUUUUGCUUAAGACAUUUCAUGAACUGAAUGGGAAGAUGGUUGAAGUCAAGCGUGCAGUUCCUAAAGAGUUAUCACCUGGUCCCAGUCGCAGCCCUCUUGGAGGAUACAACUGUGGUCUGAGUAGGGUUAAUAGCUUCCUGAAUGGCUACACACAGGGGUAUAAUCCUAGUACAGUUGGAGGCUAUGGACUUGGUAGAUUCAGUCCAGUUGCAAGUGGUCGAAGU